CCUUAACCUGCUAAAUAGCUAGGCUAGCUUUAGCUAGUUGCUAGCUUCUUAGAGGGACUAUUAGCUUAAGCUAAUAGAAGUUUAAGGCAAUAAUAGGUCUGUAAUACCCUUAGAUGUUCUAGGCCGCACGCGCGCUACACUAACAGAGCUAACAAGUUCUUUACCUUAGCUAGAAGGUCUAGGUAAUCUUAUUAAACUCUGUCGUGCUAGAGAUAGAGCAUUGCAAUUAUUACUCUUUAACAAGGAAUACCUAGUAAGCGCGUGUUAUUAGCAUGCGUUAAUUACGUCCCUGCCCUUUGUACACACUGCCCGUUGCUACUACUAAUUAAAUAGCUUAGUAAGGCCUUUAGACUAGCUCAGGAAGGUUGGCAACGACUACCCCAAGCCAGAAAGUUCGUCAAACUUAGUUAUUUAGAGGAAGUAAAAGUCG
rnacentral:rRNA from 1 species